CCUACGGGAGGCAGCAGUGAGGAAUAUUGGUCAAUGGGCGCGAGCCUGAACCAGCCAAGUAGCGUGAGGGAUGACGGUCCUACGGAUUGUAAACCUCUUUUGUCGGGGAGCAAAAGACGCCACGCGUGGCGUUCCGUGAGUACCCGAAGAAAAAGCAUCGGCUAACUCCGUGCCAGCAGCCGCGGUAAUACGGAGGAUGCGAGCGUUAUCCGGAUUUAUUGGGUUUAAAGGGGGCGCAGGCGGAAGAUCAAGUCAGCGGUAAAAUUUAGAGGCUCAACCUCAUAGAGCCGUUGAAACUGGGUGUCUUGAGUGAGUGAGAGGUAUGCGGAAUGCGUGGUGUAGCGGUGAAAUGCAUAGAUAUCACGCAGAACUCCGAUUGCGAAGGCAGCAUACCGACGUUCCACUGACACUGAUGCACGAAAGUGUGGGUAUCGAACAGGAUUAGAUACCCUUGUAGUC
rnacentral:rRNA from 1 species